rnacentral:lncRNA from 1 species
AUUCAUCUAUAAGAUUUUCUUUACCUUAACCAAAUAACUAAACCUAAAUUCAAAUAUAUAAAAUCUUCGUCCAAACUUAUUUAUUAACAACAACAAAUAUUCGAGUUUAUAUAAUAUAAUAAGAAAAAUAAAAUAAAUGUUCAAGAAAAUAUUAAAUAAGAGGGACAAAAACUAACAAUAAUUUUGAAGAGACACAAACCUCG